UGACUCUGGCUUAGUUUCUCUAACCCAAGAUGCAAUUUGGUUAAGGGGGGUUUGGUAGAGAGGUUAAUGAAUCAGUUUUUCAAUUUACAUUCUAUCCUUUUUUCUUUUUCUCUCAAAACUCAAAGACACUUAGAGAGAAUGUCGAAGCUACAUGAAAGAAUCACCGCGAAGAUCCCUUGUUGCCGUCAAGUGUUUAUCAAGGAAAGAAGAAACUUGUGGUGGAAUUACUGAGAUGUGUAUGUUGGAGGAAUCCUCAGAAUCACUGUCACUUGCUAGCCCCUCAGAAACUUGAGUUUUGCAGUGCUCUGAUUCAGCAGAUGCAGUAGUCACCAGCAUGUGCCAUCGUGUGGCCAUUGCCACUAUUCCUUGAGCUCUGUGUGUGAUUCUCGCUGCACCCAAAAUGCACAAGAAGAACCCACUUAACUGCACUGCUGAACAAAUCUGCAUUACAAAAUUCUCACUCUCAAAUCUCAAUUAGUAGCAUUCUUUUUUCUAGGCAAAUAGUUUAUUGUAAACAUGACACCUAAAAUACAUGGCAUUACGUUAAAUUUAAGAAUAUAAAUUUCA